rnacentral:rRNA from 1 species
AGACAGCAGUCGCCGCGGUAAUACGAAGGGGGCUAGCGUUGCUCGGAAUGACUGGGCGUAAAGGGCGCGUAGGCGGAUGGCACAGUCAGAUGUGAAAUUCCCGGGCUUAACCUGGGGGCUGCAUUUGAUACGUGUUGUCUAGAGUGAGGAAGAGGGUCGUGGAAUUCCCAGUGUAGAGGUGAAAUUCGUAGAUAUUGGGAAGAACACCAGUGGCGAAGGCGACUCUCUGGUCUGUAACUGACGCUGAGGCGCGAAAGCGUGGGGAGCAAACAGGAUUUGAUACCCCAGUAGUCCCUGUCUCUUAUAC